rnacentral:rRNA from 1 species
UACGUAGGGCGCAAGCGUUAUCCGGAAUUAUUGGGCGUAAAGAGCUCGUAGGCGGUUUGUCGCGUCUGCUGUGAAAUCCCGAGGCUCAACCUCGGGCUUGCAGUGGGUACGGGCAGACUAGAGUGCGGUAGGGGAGACUGGAAUUCCUGGUGUAGCGGUGGAAUGCGCAGAUAUCAGGAGGAACACCGAUGGCGAAGGCAGGUCUCUGGGCCGCAACUGACGCU